rnacentral:rRNA from 1 species
UACGUAGGUGGCAAGCGUUGUCCGGAUUUACUGGGCGUAAAGAGCGCGCAGGCGGUCGUUCAAGUCGCGUGUGAAAGCCCCCGGCUCAACUGGGGAGGGUCACGCGAUACUGAUCGACUCGAAGGCAGGAGAGGGUAGUGGAAUUCCCGGUGUAGUGGUGAAAUGCGUAGAUAUCGGGAGGAACACCAGUGGCGAAGGCGGACUACCUGGCCUGUUCUUGACGCUGAGGCGCGAAAGCUAGGGGAGCAAACGGG